rnacentral:rRNA from 1 species
GGGUUGUGAGGUUAAGCGACUAAGCGUACACGGUGGAUGCCCUGGCAGUCAGAGGCGAUGAAGGGCGUGCUAAUCUGCGAUAAGCGCCGGUAAGGUGAUAUGAACCGUUAUAACCGGCGAUACCCGAAUGGGGAAACCCAGUGUGACUCGUCACACUAUCAUUAACUGAAUCCAUAGGUUAAUGAGGCGAACCGGGGGAACUGAAACAUCUAAGUACCCCGAGGAAAAGAAAUCAACCGAGAUUCCCCCAGUAGCGGCGAGCGAACGGGGAGGAGCCCAGAGCCUGAAUCAGCAUGUGUGUUAGUGGAAGCGUCUGGAAAGGCGCGCGAUACAGGGUGACAGCCCCGUACACAAAAGCGCAUGUGCUGUGAGCUCGAUGAGUAGGGCGGGACACGUGGUAUCCUGUCUGAAUAUGGGGGGACCAUCCUCCAAGGCUAAAUACUCCUGACUGACCGAUAGUGAACCAGUACCGUGAGGGAAAGGCGAAAAGAACCCCGGCGAGGGGAGUGAAAAAGAACCUGAAACCGUGUACGUACAAGCAGUGGGAGCACCCUUUGGGGUGUGACUGCGUACCUUUUGUAUAAUGGGUCAGCGACUUAUAUUCUGUAGCAAGGUUAACCGAAUAGGGGAGCCGGAGGGAAACCGAGUCUUAAUUGGGCGUUAAGUUGCAGGGUAUAGACCCGAAACCCGGUGAUCUAGCCAUGGGCAGGUUGAAGGUUGGGUAACACUAACUGGAGGACCGAACCGACUAAUGUUGAAAAAUUAGCGGAUGACCUGUGGCUGGGGGUGAAAGGCCAAUCAAACCGGGAGAUAGCUGGUUCUCCCCGAAAGCUAUUUAGGUAGCGCCUCGUGAAUUCAUCUCCGGGGGUAGAGCACUGUUUCGGCUAGGGGGCCAUCCCGGCUUACCAACCCGAUGCAAACUGCGAAUACCGGAGAAUGUUAUCACGGGAGACACACGGCGGGUGCUAACGUCCGUCGUGAAGAGGGAAACAACCCAGACCGCCAGCUAAGGUCCCAAAGUCAUGGUUAAGUGGGAAACGAUGUGGGAAGGCCCAGACAGCCAGGAUGUUGGCUUAGAAGCAGCCAUCAUUUAAAGAAAGCGUAAUAGCUCACUGGUCGAGUCGGCCUGCGCGGAAGAUGUAACGGGGCUAAACCAUGCACCGAAGCUGCGGCAGCGACGCUGAUGCGUUGUUGGGUAGGGGAGCGUUCUGUAAGCCUGCGAAGGUGGCCUGUGAGGGUUGCUGGAGGUAUCAGAAGUGCGAAUGCUGACAUAAGUAACGAUAAAGCGGGUGAAAAGCCCGCUCGCCGGAAGAC